ACCCUGCACUGUCAGGGUGUGCACACCUCUGUCAGCCUGUACCCAACACUGUGAGGCUGCACCCAACACCUUGGUGGUGUACCCACCUCCAUCAGCCUGUACUCACCUUUGUCAGCUUGUACCCAACACCAGGAGGGUGUACCCACCUCCAUGAUGGUGUACCCAAUGCUGUCAGCCUGUACCCAACACCGUUGGGUUGUACCCACCAUGCUGACGCGGUACCCGCCAUCGUUCAGCCCUACUCACCACC
rnacentral:lncRNA from 1 species